GUGCCUAAUACAUGCAAGUCGAGCGCAGGAAGCGAGCUGAUCCCCUUCGGGGGUGACGCUCGUGGAAUGAGCGGCGGACGGGUGACUAACACGUGGGCAACCUGCCUGUAAGAUCGGAAUAACUCCGGGAAACCGGAGCUAAUGCCGGGUAACACUUUCCUCCGCAUGGAGGAGARUUAAAARAUGGCUUCUUGCUAUCACUUACAGAUGGGCCCGCGGCGCAUUAGCUAGUUGGUGAGGUAACGGCUCACCAAGGCGACGAUGCGUAGCCGACCUGAGAGGGUGAUCGGCCACACUGGGACUGAGACACGGCCCAGACUCCUACGGGAGGCAGCAGUAGGGAAUCUUCCGCAAUGGACGAAAGUCUGACGGAGCAACGCCGCGUGAACGAUGAAGGUUUUCGGAUCGUAAAGUUCUGUUCUUAGGGAAGAACAAGUACCGUUCAAACAGGGCGGUACCUUGACGGUACCUAACGAGGAAGCCCCGGCUAACUACGUGCCAGCAGCCGCGGUAAUACGUAGGGGGCAAGCGUUGUCCGGAAUUAUUGGGCGUAAAGCGCUCGCAGGCGGUUCCUUAAGUCUGAUGUGAAAGCCCACGGCUCAACCGUGGAGGGUCAUUGGAAACUGGGGAACUUGAGGACAGAAGAGGAGAGU
rnacentral:rRNA from 1 species